rnacentral:lncRNA from 1 species
UAUUUGUUGGCUUAAAGGUCAGAAUAGGCCAACUCAUGUUUGAAAUGUUGUGAGGCUAGUUGCAUUGAGACCUGUGGACGCUGCGUUUGUACGUUUUAAAUCAAUUGGUUAUGUAUUUCUAACAAUUCGAACUUUUAGAAUUAAUGAUUAGCGCCAACAAUCCGAAAUAUGAUAUCAGAGGCUGUAACGACCCGCUCCACUAGCAAAAAGAAUACCAAUGAGGUCCCAAAUGUCCUUGGCAGUCUCGUAGGUCUCAAAUUGUCAAAUGAGGUCGUUUUUCAU